GUACUGCUGAUGAGUCCCAUACUAGGAUGAGAUGGCCAUCCAGUAC
rfam:Schistosoma curassoni strain Dakar, Senegal genome assembly, scaffold: SCTD_scaffold0001532